rnacentral:tRNA from 1 species
CGUUCAUUAGCUCAGCUGGGAGAGCACCUCCCUUACAAGGAGGGGGUCGGCGGUUCGAUCCCGUCAUCACCCACCA